rnacentral:lncRNA from 1 species
AAUUCUAGCCUACUGUCUGAAAGAAAAUAGACCGAAAAUAAAAGCAUAAGAGAUACUCUAGCUGCUGCAGAAUGGCAGCUCACUGGGAAGUCUCAAGCUGGGGAAUCAAGUCUACGUACUGAACUGGUGGUGAGACGCACCUGCCUCAUAUCUUGUACUAUCAAGUACAGAAGUCUAGAGUGAGUAUAUAAAAAUAUGUACCCAGUAAGCAUCUAGUCUAACCUCAAAGAAUUAGUAAAGAGGGAUCGACUCCAACACUUACUAGGGCCAACAAUAUAAUAAUAUGUGGUUUUAAUUAAGCAUGGUACAUAGCGCUAACAAGAAACUCAGAACAAGAAACAACUAAACAGUUCUUUCCUCAUAUUUAAGAACCCAAAACACUUCCUUCAUUUAAAAUAAAUGAUAUUUAGAGCAGUUAAUUUAUACCAAUUAUAAAAAGGGCUUCCAGUUCCAUUAUCACACACAAAUUCCCCCGAGGAUGUUCAGCCCGAUCUAACAUAAAACGUAAAUUGUACACUACUGAGGGUCGAACGACGCGAACCAUAGAUGGAUCUAUUAACCUGCUAGGUCAAACAUCUCACUCCCAUGAGAGUAGUGGAAAUAGUUACCCCUCUCAUGGAAUAUACUUGCGACGUGGUUAAAUAUAAAUAUAACGCAAAUUUUCUCAAUUCUUUUCAAAAUAAUAAUUUACUUGAAUCCUUCAAAAUCUUAAAGUCCUCAAUUUAGUUGCAUUCAAUGCAAAUCAACAAUAUGAUCCGAUAACGGUAUCCACAAAGCAUGGAGUAAGUCUAAAACUACCCGGACAUAAUAAGAAUAGUAGCUACAUACGGACUCAUGUCACUCCGUGCGUACGUAGACCCCACAAAUAAUCAUAUAUUCAUCAAUUUCACCUAUGGGGAAAUUUCCCUCUUACAAGGUUAGAAAAGAGACUUAUCUCGCCUCAAAGCCUGCUCUCCUAUCCAAGCUUAUGCCCAAACCCUCAUUUUGGUGCCGAAAAAUCCAAAACUAUCAAAAUAAUGUAAAAACUAAUCAAUAUCGACUUAAAAGUUCAUAUCUCGACUAUUAAAGAAAUUUCCCUACUCUAAAUACAAGAUUCCUAAAAUUCAUCCCCGGAUCCACGUGCUCGAAUUUCAAAACUUUUCAAACCCAUAACCAUAGGAACAUAAAUAUAUGGGUUUCAUUAAGUUCCAUAACCAUUUUCUUGGUAAAAUUUCAUUUUUAUCAAAAACUUAGGUAUUUCUCUACACCCAUAAUUUUCACUAAUUUACAUGUUAUAAUUUAUCCAUAAACUAUGUAUUACAAUUACAUUAGGUAGAAAUUACUUAUCUCACAACGAUAGGUCAAAAUCCCCUCCUUAAGAGCUCUCAAAUCGUUCAAGAGUGUAAUAAAUGACCCAAAAAAUGCCUAAGUCCCGAUUUUAAAACUUACUGCCCAGCUGCCUCCUUCUUCGCGAACGCGGAAGGGGCCUCGCAUUCGCGAAGGCAAACGGUCCAGGCCCCGUGGAGUAUCUACUUCGCGAACGCAACCAGGGUCCGGCAAACGCGGAGGCUGGCUUGGCCUACCCUUCGCAAACGCAAAGAACAAAGCGACCCAAAGUUGCGCAUUUCUAGUUUCUCAGACUUUGCUCCGAAGGGUCAGAAACUCACCCAAAUAACUUGGGACUCUGUCCAAAGGCACUAAAAGGUCUGUAAUCAUAUUAUGGACUUGUUCGAACGCUCGAAACACAAAAUAACAACAAAACCAAGAAUCAUACCCCAAAACCAAAUUGAAUCAAACUUUGAACAUCAAGUUUUUCAACUUCUCCGAAUGCACCGAAUCAUAUUUACACUAGGAACAAUACCAAAUUUUGCGUACAAGUCUCAAAAGACAUUACACAAUUAUUCCCGGUCUCAAAAUUCUAUUGGGACCUCGAUAUCACCAAAACCCGCUCCAAACUAAAUAUUAAGAACUUCAAGAACCAACUUUCUCUAUUAGGCGCCAAAAUGCUUCCGAGUCAUCCAAAAUCCAAUCUGAACAUAUUUCCAAGUCAGAAAUCAUCAUAAAAACCUAUUGGAAUAGUCAAUCUCGGUUCUAAGAUUGUUUACCCAAAAUAUUGACCUAAGUCACACUUGGCCUUUUAAGCCAACCUGAAGGAACCAAGUGUUCCGAUUUCAAUUCGAAUUCUUUCAAAUCCUGAAAUAACCGUCCUCGUAAGUCAUAAAUCAGUAAAGUAAGUACGGGAAGUCUUAUUUAGGAAAAUGAGAUUCUAAAAAGCAAGACGACCGGUUGAAUCGUUACAAUUAAGAACUAUAAGUUCAUAAUUUAAGAUAGUUCAUAUUUAUACCUUAAAUUCUAAAUUUAUACCUUAAAUUAAUUUAUACAUUAAAUAAUUUGAAUGCACUAAAUUUGAGUUCUAUUAAGAACUAUAAAUUCAUAAUUUAAGGUAGUUCAUAAUUUUUACAUUAAAUAAUUUAAAUGCAUUAAUUUGAAAUCUAUUAAGAACCAUAAAUUCAUAAAUUAAGAUAGUCUUAUAAUUUAUACCAUAAGUUCAUAAUUUAUAGGCGUGAUGGCUUCCUAGCCACUUAAACUUGUAUCGGUUUGUAAAGACGAUACAUGAACUUAUAUUUUUCCUAUUUGAACACUUCAACUUGAGGGAAUAAGUACUAAUAAACACUUUCUGUUGAACGCGUUCGCCAAUCGCUCUGGCAUGAAUGCCAUGUCACAUGUUUGGUCUUUAUUAUAUGACAUGUGAAUUUGUGAGUCCUACAUUAUUAGAAAAAAUAUUUAAUCUUUAAAAGUUUUAAUUUCUUUUUUCUUUCUCUUUUUUCUCCACCAUACACAGCCAAUAGUCCACAAAUAGCUUCAAACCUCAGCCAUUUUUUACCACAAUCAUCUUCUUCCUCCUAUAUGGAAGCUUCGUCCAAGCAACAAUAUAGCAUGCUCUUUUAUGCUUUGGCAGCCUGUGUAUAUAACAUGUGUUAUAUACACACUAUUCACAAGGUAGCAAUGGAUGAAAGCUUCAGAGUACGGAUGGACAAGUCGCCGGCUCUCUGACUUCGACGGCGACGAUUCCCUCCUCCAAUUUGAGUUCUUUCUAGUGUUUAAUCGAUGACGAUAUUCAAAAAAAUAAUGGGACAAGGAUAGUCCCUCCCGUAAACUACUCGGCUUUGAUUCCAAACCCUGGCAUUUUCAUAUUGACGUCUUCUUCUCUAAGCCCCACCUGCAAACCCAAGAUUUCCCUUGAAAGAGUUCAGUGACGACCAAGAAGAACCAGAUGAUGAUGAUGCUGAUGAUCGGUUAUUCGGUCUUGCAUUUCUUUUUCCAGUAAACCAAUGCAUAAUAAUUUGGACUAUUUUAUAUUUAUGCUUGGAAUCCUUAUGCAAGAGCCAUUUAGUCAAUGGGGAAGAGAAUGGGAAAAGAAACUGGGAAGGGAAGUGAAAGUAGGAUAGAAAAUUAAAAAAAAAAAUUACAGGAUGGGGAGUUGCUUAGGAAGAUGAGAGAGGUGGGAGAGGAGGGGAGAGAGAAAGAACUUUUUUCUUUUUCUUUCUUAUUUAUAUUUUAUUCUAUUUCUAUUUUUUAAUAAAAAUAAAAUUAUUCACAUGUCUUGGCAGCGUGAUUUUCACACAAUUUAGUCAUGUCAGCUGUGCCACUUUCACAUAGGCUUGGUCAAUAGUAAGAUAUUUUAUUAGUAUUUAUUCUGUCAAGUUGAAGUGUUCAAAUGAGAAAAAUAUAAGUUCAUGUAUCAACUUUACAAGAUACAAGUUUAAGUGGCCAGAAAGCCAUUACGCCUGAUUUAUACCUUACAUUAAUUUGUACAUUAAAUAAUUUAAUUGCAUUAAUUUGAGUUAUGUACCUUAAUUCUAAAUCUAAUAUACUUCAAACCAAAAACUCUAAAAAAUUAUAAUUGUAGGUAGUUUAAAUCUAAAUCUUAUGUAGUUCAAAAACCCUAUUUAGUCAUAUAAAUCCUAAAUAGACAAUAACCCUUAAAAAAUGCAUAAAACUAUAUUCCAAAAAUUAAAAAUUAAAAAGAUAAUAAAGUAGAUUACUAACCUUGAAUAGAAAUGAUAGUGAUGGUACCGCCAAGGAGGAGAACGACAAUGGUGGUGGUGGCGGCGCGAAACAAGCUAGGUAGUGGUGGUGGCGGUGGCGCGGAACAGUAGUGGCAGUGGCUGGGGGCACAGGCGUGAGAGAGAUAAGGUGAUGCUUCGAUUUUGGGUGGGAUUAGACUAAAAAUCUGUGAGGAAGGGAGAUGAAUGAGAGAUAGAAGAAAGAGAGAGUGUGUGAAAAGAUGAAAAU